CAUUAGCUCAGUUGGUAGAGCAUCUGACUUUUAAUCAGAGGGUCAGAGGUUCGAAUCCUCUAUGGCUCACUA
rnacentral:tRNA from 1 species